rnacentral:rRNA from 1 species
GACAGAGGGUGCGAACGUUGUUCGGAAUUACUGGGCGUAAAGCGCAUGUAGGCGGCCAAGCAGGUCGGAUGUGAAAUCCCUCGGCUCAACCAAGGAAGUGCAUUCGAAACCGCAUGGCUCGAGUCCCGGAGAGGAAGGCGGAAUUCUCGGUGUAGAGGUGAAAUUCGUAGAUAUCGAGAGGAACACCGGUGGCGAAAGCGGCCUUCUGGACGAGGACUGACGCUGAGAUGCGAAAGCGUGGGGAGCAAACAGG